ACAAAGCAGUGAUGCAGAGCAAAUCCCCAAAAGCAGUCUUAGUUCGGAUUGUAGGCUGCAACUCGCCUACAUGAAGUCGGAAUUGCUAGUAAUCGCGGAUCAGCAUGCCGCGGUGAAUACGUUCCCGGGCCUUGUACACACCGCCCGUCACACCAUGGGAGUCGGUAACACCCGAAGCCUGUAGUCUAACCGCAAGGAGGACGCAGUCGAAGGUGGGAUUGACGACUGGGGUGAAGUCGUAACAAGGUAAC
rnacentral:rRNA from 1 species